UACGUAGGGGGCUAGCGUUGUCCGGAAUCAUUGGGCGUAAAGCGCGUGUAGGCGGUCCGGUAAGUCCGCUGUGAAAGUCGAGGGCUCAACCCUCGAAUGCCGGUGGAUACUGUCGGGCUUGAGUACGGGAGAGGCGAGUGGAAUUCCUGGUGUAGCGGUGAAAUGCGUAGAUAUCUGGAGGAAUACCGGUGGCGAAGGCGGCAUCCUGGACCGGCAUUGACGCUGAGUGAGCGAAAGCCAGGGGAGCAAACGGG
rnacentral:rRNA from 1 species